AUUGAACGCUGGCGGCAGGCCUAACACAUGCAAGUCGAGCGGAUGAAGGGAGCUUGCUCCUGGAUUCAGCGGCGGACGGGUGAGUAAUGCCUAGGAAUCUGCCUGGUAGUGGGGGAUAACGUCCGGAAACGGGCGCUAAUACCGCAUACGUCCUGAGGGAGAAAGUGGGGGAUCUUCGGACCUCACGCUAUCAGAUGAGCCUAGGUCGGAUUAGCUAGUUGGUGGGGUAAAGGCCUACCAAGGCGACGAUCCGUAACUGGUCUGAGAGGAUGAUCAGUCACACUAGAACUGAGACACGGUCCUGACUCCUACGGGAGGCAGCAGUGGGGAAUAUUGGACAAUGGGCGAAAGCCUGAUCCAGCCAUGCCGCGUGUGAGAAGAAGGUCUUCGGAUUGUAAAGCACUUUAAGUUGGGAGGAAGGGCAGUAAGUUAAUACCUUGCUGUUUUGACGUUACCAACAGAAUAAGCACCGGCUAACUUCGUG
rnacentral:rRNA from 1 species